GGAGAGAUGACAGAGUGGCUUAAUGUACUAGUCUUGAAAAUUAGCAGGGGUAAAACCUUCGUAGGUUCGAAUCCUACUCUCUCCG
rnacentral:tRNA from 1 species